rnacentral:rRNA from 1 species
UACGUAGGGUGCGAGCGUUGUCCGGAAUUAUUGGGCGUAAAGAGCUCGUAGGCGGUGUGUCACGUCGGCCGUGAAAACCUGGGGCUUAACUCUGGGCGUGCGGUCGAUACGGGCAUCACUAGAGUUCGGCAGGGGAGACUGGAAUUCCUGGUGCAGCGGUGAAAUGCGCAGAUAUCAGGAGGAACACCGGUGGCGAAGGCGGGUCUCUGGGCCGAUACUGACGCUGAGGAGCGAAAGCAUGGGUAGCGAACAGG